rnacentral:rRNA from 1 species
AUGCGCUGCCAGGUCGCUCUUGCAAAGCACACCUGCCCACUGAGGCUUGCGUCGUCGGCUAGGUCAGGGCAGGGGUGCUCGCAUGUCUCUCAGCUUUUGGUCCGGGGGGCAGGGAGGGCACGUGGCAUGGCGUCGGCGCCGGCAAGAACACGGCUGUGGUCGGCACCCUGCCGGCAGCUCGGCACUCAGAGUAGAAGGAAAAUGGAUAAGGAUUACAGAAUGAGAGAGGGGAAGCCGGAGGCCAAGAAUAGCAGGUCCUGUAGGUGCAUUACUGAACACCGUGAGAGCCACAACCAUUCUAUGUCUAUGACGAUGGGAGACAAGGUGCACUGGUGGUCACACAAGCACAUUGAUGUGCACACCAAGGAUAUGAUAAACAAGUUGAGGGAAAAUAAUGUUAACUUUCUGGGUUAUCUCAACCCAACUCCCAGAGUAUACUUGGCCACAGAUCUUGGCUGUGCUCAUAAGAAAGAAGUUGCAUGGAGUACUACUAGUUGCGAGCAUGAGCACAGCACCUCUCUCGGCCUGUGUGUGUAG